rnacentral:lncRNA from 1 species
CACCCACUACAGCUCAGCAGGAAAAAUGAGUGCUGAAUACUGACCUCUAAUAGCCAAGAGGCAGCACUACAACAGAGAACUCAUUCAGAACCUCUGGAGUCCUAACCAUCCCAUGUCCCAGUCAUUCCUUAGGGAGCCAACUCCAAGACAAGACCGCCCUUCAGAUGGAUCCUAAAGGAGUCUAUAGAAGAUACCUGUGCAAGGAUGCCAUGCAAAGACACAUAUUGCUUACGCUAGAAAAACCUUCC